GCUUCCUACGGGAGGCAGCAGUGGGGAAUAUUGGACAAUGGGCGCAAGCCUGAUCCAGCCAUGCCGCGUGUGUGAAGAAGGCCUUCGGGUUGUAAAGCACUUUUGUUCGGGAAGAAAAGCUACCGGUUAAUACCCGGGAGUCAUGACGGUACCGAAAGAAUAAGCACCGGCUAACUUCGUGCCAGCAGCCGCGGUAAUACGAAGGGUGCAAGCGUUACUCGGAAUUACUGGGCGUAAAGCAUGCGUAGGUGGUGCGUUAAGUCUGUCGUGAAAGCCCCGGGCUCGACCUGGGAAUGGCGAUGGAUACUGGCGCGCUAGAGUGCGGUAGAGGAGAGUGGAAUUCCCGGUGUAGCAGUGAAAUGCGUAGAGAUCGGGAGGAACAUCAGUUGCGAAGGCGGCUCUCUGGACCAACACUGACACUGAGGCACGAAAGCGUGGGGAGCAAACAGGAUUAGAUACCCUGGUAGUCCACGCCCUAAACGAUGCGAACUGGACGUUGGGAGCAACUAGGCUCUCAGUGUCGAAGCUAACGCGUUAAGUUCGCCGCCUGGGGAGUACGGUCGCAAGACUGAAACUC
rnacentral:rRNA from 1 species